AAUACCACACCGAACCAUUUCUUCUUUCACGAUGAUCGUAAAUUUUCUAUUAAUUAUGUUUAUACAUUACCAAUAUAAUUGAGAGAGAAAAAAAGAAGAAGAAACGUUGAGAAGAUCGUGAACUGGAAACGAUAGAAGAACCUAAUAACGACGUGUCAUGAGAAACUAAAAAACAAAAAAGUAAAAAAAGAAGCAAAGAUACACCGGUUCGUUCGUAAGUCAACGACUAAUGAUACGCUGUCCAUCUAAUUACCGCAGCUGUAGUAUAGAAAUUCUAAGAGAAAGGCAAAUGCCAUUGGGUUACGCUAAAGGUAUCUAAAAACACUAGCAUAGCACAAGUCUCGUUGGAUCGACCAACAACAACGUUUGCUUGCUGCUGUUGCUGCUGCUCUUUUCAGAAACGUCGAUCUUGCAUCAAUCACUGUUAAACUCAUUGCUGCUCGUUAGUCGUCUAAGGCGAGAUAAAGGUACUACUGCCAAAUCAAACGAUUUAUUUAACAUUGAGAGGAAAAAAAAACAUUUCUUCCCCAGCAGGAUUUGAUCUCACGACGUUCACGUUCAAAUUAAGUGGGAUUCGAACCCACGCCCUCAGAGAGGACCAGAAGCCUCAACUGAACUCGCUUGGCGAGCAAGGUACGAACCUUGAGUCUGGCG